GACGAACGCUGGCGGCGUGCUUAACACAUGCAAGUCGAACGGUGAUGCUCCAGCUUGCUGGAGUGGAUCAGUGGCGAACGGGUGAGUAACACGUGAGCAACCUGCCCCAGACUCUGGAAUAAGCGCUGGAAACGGCGUCUAAUACUGGAUACGAAACUGGCCCGCAUGGGCAUGGUUUGUAAAGUUUUUCGGUUUGGGAUGUGCUCGCGGUCUAUCAGCUUGUUGGUGAGGUAAUGGCUCACCAAGGCGACGACGGGUAGCCGGCCCGAGAGGGCGAUCGGGAGGAAUUGGAAGGAGACGCGGCCCAGACUCAUACGGGAGGCAGCAGUGGGGAAUAUUUGACACUGGGCGAAAGACUGACACAGCAAUGCCGCGUGAGUGAUGAAGGGCUUAGGGAAGUAAAGCUCUUUUAACCGGGAGGAUAAUGACAGUACCGGGAGAAGAAGCGCCGGCUAACUACGUG
rnacentral:rRNA from 1 species